rfam:Dipodomys ordii contig_64452, whole genome shotgun sequence.
GGGAAUGUGGUUUAGUGGUAAAGUGCAUGCCUUGCAUGCGUGAAGCCAUGGGUUUGAUUCUUCAGUACCA